UGUUCCCACCCUCCCUCCCUAACCACCACCAGUUUGGCCUUGUCCAGACGUCCAGGGGGUAGGCUCCGCCCCUGCCGUCUCAUACCAGCAGGAUCUGCAAGGGUCUGCACACUCGGUGACCUGGACCGAGGACGGGGCCUAUGCCAAACACAAUCUUAUUGUUGCUUAUGCCUUUUGUAUAUCCAUUGAUGGAUGAAUAAGUAUGUUAACUUUCAUUGUACCUCCCUGAGUCUUUCUGAUAGAACUCUCUCUCUCUCCCUCUUAGAUGAGACCCACACAAGGCUCCAGGUCUAUCAAUAAAAGGGAGACAAGAGGUAUUAUGUAAAGACCAUGCUUCAAGCAGGAGCACUGAGAAUCACUGAUGGAUUACGGUUUUAUAUUAAGUCAAAAGAAACAUACAGAUACCUGCAACUUCUGUGCUGCACCGUUUGAUAUGCAUGACUCAAUGGAAACAAGGCUCGCAGUAAACUGCUUGGAAACUUUUGAGUGUGGCUGUACAGAAGUGGAACAGAAGAAGGUGUACGCUGUGUCAAGGAGUUGGUCUGGUUUGCUCAUAUGGGAAUCAAUGAAAACAACUGGAGGCAUUGUUGCUCCUUAGAUUUCAGACAGUGGAAAAUGUCUUCAAGAGUACAACACAAUUUGGAGGAGAAUGGCCUUGAGUCUGUAUUAUUUUUUCCAAAGGGUUGACCCCCUUUGUACAUCUGGCAUCUGCUAGCUUGAUAAACUCAAUUCUUUCAUCAAUUAUAUGCAGUAUAAAACAUGUUGACAACGCUGGAAAGGACUGACCUGUAUCUUCUCACCCUAUGAGAAGUAGUUUUCAGUGGAAAAAUCCAUCAUUGCUGCUUCUUUCAUUCAAGCUUUAAUGGAUGACGAAGCCAAGACUGAACUCUAAACGAAUUCAGUCAUAGGAUGAAAAGCAAGAUAGACCUUGCCAUCACGUUCAAAUCAUUCUGACUCGGACAUUUUUUUUUUAUAUUCAAAGACAAACACUUAGACAUACAGUAUACAGUACACUUGCUUUGGAUCUUAAUUUUAUGCUAAUUUAGAGGGAAAGCAGUUCCUGUCACAAAUUUGCACAUCUGGGCACGGAGCUAAAACGUAAUUUAACAAAUCUGGACCGUUCUACAAUCAUUAGCAUUUUCUGGGACUUAGCAUGACUUUGAGUUAGUGCAUCACAUUUUUUGAGACUUACAAAGGAAGUGAAUCCUAAAGCCAACCAAAAACUGUUUACCUUAUGGCUCAUGCAAAAGCUUCCCUGCAGAGAGAGAGAGAAAACAGUCUACUCACACACACUGUAAGACAAGGAAGUGUUCACAUAAGUCAUAUCCACACAUUCUGUUUCAGCAGUUAAUUUGCUCAGUUAUGAGCGAAAUCUCAAGAAUAUCCCUGAGCGUAAACAUCCAAAUAUUUCACACCUGCGGUCCCAGCAUUCAGGUCAGAGAAGAGUAUGCAAACAAACAGUGUGAUGGAAAGGCAGCAGCAUGUUGCUGACUACUGAAGUCUUAUUUUGCAAUAGUUAACAUUUCCCAACUUGAACUUAUACUUCUACACUAUAUGCUGCACACAUUUAGAUAUACAGUACCUUGUGAACAGUGUUGGGAAGUAACGUAACACAAUAUGAUGAUUAUAUGAUUAUACAAUACAAUAAAAUAACGGGGUUAUGUAUAUAAAAAUCUUUUUUUUUUCUAAUUAAAAUUUAAAUAUAUUUUUUAAUAGCCAAACCACAUGCAUCCCUCACAUGCCUUUUCUUUUUCUUUCUCUGGUUAUAUUGAAAGGAUACAAUGAGAUAAAACCUCUCAGGAAAUGGACAAUCUUUUUUCUUGAAGGCCAUGCACAUUUAGCCUUGUCAUAGGUUCAUUUUCAGGAGUGAUAAGGUGUUGAUAAGGUUAAGAAAAUAAAUCAGUGCAUAGAGUGCUUGUAGGGUGGAUGUUAGUUUUGGUAGUAAUUUAGCCAAUGAGUAGACAGAUCACUGUUGUUCUUUGAUCCAAUGAUGUAAGUAAUGUUUCCU